rnacentral:rRNA from 1 species
UACAGGGGGGGCAAGCGUUGUUCGGAAUUACUGGGCGUAAAGGGCUCGUAGGCGGCCAACUAAGUCACACGUGAAAUCCCCAGGCUUAACCUGGGAACUGCGUGUGAUACUGGAUGGCUUGAAUCCGGGAGAGGGAUGCGGAAUUCCAGGUGUAGCGGUGAAAUGCGUAGAUAUCUGGAGGAACACCGGUGGCGAAGGCGGCAUCCUGGACCAAUUCUGACACUGAGGAGCGAAAGCCAGGGGAGCAAACGGGG